AGUUGUACCAGACGUAGAAUGGACAUCCCUCCCCAACAGUAGGAUCCAGUUGUACCAGACACAGAAUGGACAUCCCUCCCAUAACAGUAGGAUCCAGUUGUACCAGACACAGAAUGGACAUCCCUCCCAUAACAGUAGGAUCCAGGUGUACCAGACACAGAAUGGACAUCCCUCCCAUAACAGUAGGAUCCAGGUGUACCAGACACAGAAUGGACAUCCCUCCCAUAACAGUAGGAUCCAGGUGUACCAGACACAGAAUGGACAUCCCUCCCAUAACAGUAGGAUCCAGGUGUACCAGACACAGAAUGGACACCCCUCCCCAACAGUAGUGUCCAGGUGUACCAGACACAGAAUGGACACCCCUCCCCAACAGUAGGAUCCAGGUGUACCAGACACAGAAUGGACACCCCUCCCCAACAGUAGGGUCCAGGUGUACCAGACACAGAAUGGACACCCCUCCCCAACAGUAGGAUCCAGUUGUACCAGAUGCAUGUUGGUGACUAUGGCUCCAUGUAUGAUCCUCCAUUGGAGGUCAGCUGUCCUCUUAUCAAUAGGCAGUUUGUAUAAAGACUACCAACAGACUUUUGGGGAGGCACCUGGACCAAACGCACCUGCCCACCUCAUCGAUUUUACCCCUUCCAGGGAAGAGGCAUGGGACACUUUUACACAGAUCUUGUACAUGGCCUUCUUUCCCACCUCCUUGAACUCCCCCAGCUCCGGGGUAUCGAAGGAAAGCAGCGUCCCCACGUCCUCCUCGAAUUCCCCCAUCGCAGCACUAACAAUCAGUGCAGGGAACAUAUAAUCCAGACCCUCCUUCCACUGAUCAGAUUAGGAAGUGUCAGUCACAUACUGCAGAUGAAGUACUGGCAAGGAAUCACAGACCUCAGCGACGACCUUCCUCAGUAGACGAGAUGAUCGGAUCCCUGCUCUUUCUCCCAGCUCCUCCAACGAUCUGUUCCUGCUCCGCAUCAGAUGACCCAGCUUGGUACACUCCACACCUAACAGGCAUGAACGUAGUCUGGCUGAACCCAGAGCACGAGACUGGAUGACAGUGUUGUAAAAAAGAGGCUCUUCAAAAAGCCACAUCCCUGGUGGCGUGCCGGCCUCACGGGACAUGACAAAAACUCUCCAAGCCUGCAUAACAGACUCAUAAAAUGGAGACAAAUCACCCCCCUCCAGCUUUAAGAGGAAAUGGUGCUUGUCUAAACUCAAACAGCCCGCUCUCCUCAGCAGUGUAUAGGCUGUGUCGACCCAGCUAGAACCGUCACUGUACAACAGUCUCUGGGCUGCUUGAAGCCGGAAAGCCAUGAUCCUGGAAGAAAUGUCCACCAGGCCUUUCCCACCCUUGUGCAGUGGCAGGUACAGGGCUGCAGCUUUAAUCCAGUGUUGAUCAGACCAGAAGA